rnacentral:rRNA from 1 species
UACGAAGGGGGCUAGCGUUGCUCGGAAUCACUGGGCGUAAAGGGUGCGUAGGCGGGUCUUUAAGUCAGGGGGGAAAUCCUGGAGCUCAACUCCAGAACUGCCUUUGAUACUGAGGAUCUUGAGUUCGGGAGAGGUGAGUGGAAUUCCCAGUGUAGAGGUGAAAUUCGUAGAUAUUGGGAAGAACACCAGUGGCGAAGGAGGCUCACUGGCCCGUAACUGACGCUGAGGUGCGAAAGCGUGGGGAGCGAACAGG